GAUUUUAUUUUUAUUUUAUUUUUAAUUUAAUGAAGACAGAUCAUAGAGAACUAAAUGUCAAAAGAAAAAGACAACAAAUACAUAAUCUACAAUGUUAAUAUGAAUUAAAUAUUCCUUUAUUCCCUGUGGUGAUUUUUCUAGGGCAACAGUUUGCUUUGAUAGUAAAUCCAGGUUGUUUCUGGCCUGAACAGCAGAUUUAAGAUGGUGCAUACAACCCAUUGUUUCAUGUGUGAUGAUAGUUGGCUGACUAUAUACUUGAAAACAAAUAGUUGCAUUGAUGAGAUUGUGUUGGUGUCAAGCUCAUUGUGUAAUUUGCAGCACAUUCACUUGAGUUUGUUCAUAAGUUCCAACCUUUCCUUAUUAGAAGUAUUGUUUCUCUUCUCCCUUUCUG
rnacentral:lncRNA from 1 species